CUUCAACGAGCCCAGCCACAGCGGCUGUUCGACCGGCCGCCCGGCACCGUAGGUCGCCAGCAGCGCCUGGGCCUC
rnacentral:antisense_RNA from 1 species